GGUUGACCUCGGAUCAGGUAGGGAUACCCGCUGAACUUAAGCAUAUCAAUAAGCGGAGGAAAAGAAACCAACCGGGAUUGCCUCAGUAACGGCGAGUGAAGCGGCAACAGCUCAAAUUUGAAAUCUGGCCCCCUGCGGGGUCCGAGUUGUAAUUUGCAGAGGGUGUUUCGGGCGCGGGGCCGGUCUAAGUCCCUUGGAACAGGGCGUCAUAGAGGGUGAGAAUCCCGUCUGCGACUCGGCCGCCAAGCUCAUGUGAAACCCCUUCGACGAGUCGAGUUGUUUGGGAAUGCAGCUCCAAAUGGGUGGUAAAUUUCAUCUAAAGCUAAAUACCGGCCAGAGACCGAUAGCGCACAAGUAGAGUGAUCGAAAGAUGAAAAGCACUUUGGAAAGAGAGUUAAACAGUACGUGAAAUUGUUGAAAGGGAAGCGCUGGCGACCAGACCUGUUGUCGGGUGAUCAUCCGUCAUUCGUGGCGGGGCACUCGCCCGGACGCAGGCCAGCAUCGGUUGCGGCGGCGGGACAACGCGCCCGGGAAUGUAGCUCCCUUCGGGGCGCCUUAUAGCCCGGGCGGGCAUGCCGCCCGCCGCGACCGAGGACCGCGCUUCGGCUAGGAUGCUGGCGUAAUGGUCGUCAGCGACCCGUCUUGAAACACGGACCAAGGAGUCUACCAUUCAUGCGAGUGUUGGGGUGUCAAACCCCGGCGCGGAAUGAAAGUGAACGGAGGUGAGACCCCGCAAGGGCGCAUCAUCGACCGAUCCAGAUGUCUUCGGAUGGAUUUGAGUACGAGCAUGGCUGGUGGGACCCGAAAGAUGAUGAACUAUGCCUGAAUAGGGUGAAGCCAGAGGAAACUCUGGUGGAGGCUCGCAGCGGUUCUGACGUGCAAAUCGAUCGUCAAAUUUGGGUAUAGGGGCGA
rnacentral:rRNA from 1 species